GACGGAGGGUGCAAGCGUUGUUCGGAAUUACUGGGCGUAAAGGGCGCGUAGGCGGUCUGUUAAGUUCGGUGUGAAAGCCCCCCGGCUCACCUGGGGGAACUGCGCCGGAAACCGACAGACUCGAGUACCGGAGAGGAGGGUGGAAUUCCUGGUGUAGCGGUGAAAUGCGUAGAUAUCAGGAGGAACACCGGUGGCGAAGGCGGCCCUCUGGACGGAUACUGACGCUGAGGCGCGAAAGCGUGGGGAUCAAACAGG
rnacentral:rRNA from 1 species